ACGAACCGUCCAAACGUUAUUCGGAAUCACUGGGCUUAAAGGGUGCGUAGGCGGUCCGGGAAGUUGGGUGUGAAAGCCCUCAGCUCAACUGAGGAAUUGCGCCCAAAACUGCCGGGCUGGAGGGAGACAUAGGUGAGCGGAACUUAGGGUGGAGCGGUGAAAUGCGUUGAGAUCCUAAGGAACACCAGUAGCGAAAGCGGCUCACUGGGUCUCUUCUGACGCUGAUGCACGAAAGCUAGGGGAGCGAAGAGGAUUAGAUACCCUCGUAGUCCUAGCCGUAAACGAUGAGCACUGGUUUGGAGGCUCCUCCAUAGGCUUCCAGACGUAGCGAAAGUGUUAAGUGCUCCGCCUGGGGAGUAUGGUCGCAAGGCUG
rnacentral:rRNA from 1 species